GUCCAACUAGAGAUGUUGACCAGCCUAUGUUAGGCUCUAAAAGUGGUCUUCUUCUUCUUCUUCUUCUUCUUUCUAUUUUUAUGGAGGGUAUAGCCUCCGCUUUUUCCUCCGAGAUGCUAUCUGUGAUAUUUAUAGGCGGUGUGUAGCUUGAAUAUACUGUUCCAAGGCUUGUAUAUAUGUGCUGAUAUGAUCGGUGUUUUGUGGCCAGUAGAGUGUUGCCAGGUUUGUGAUCGUUGUGACGUCAAUCCCUAUCUUUGUGCCCAAACGGACUCGAUAGGGGGCAAAUUUUUUGCAUUCUAUCCAGAAGUGGAAAAGAGUUUCGUGGGUAUUGCAAUAUGGGCAGUUUGGUGUGAGACUCAAUUUACGAGAAUGGAGAAAGGAAUUCAGACAGGUGUUAGUUCG
rnacentral:lncRNA from 1 species